rnacentral:piRNA from 1 species
UAUAUGAUUCAGGCUUACCCGUA